rnacentral:rRNA from 1 species
CCCUCUGGGGUGCAGCAGGCGGAUCAAUCAGUCAGGGGUGAAAAAUUUCAGCUUCACUGGAAUCGUGCCUUUGAUACUGUUGGACUAGAGUAUAAUUGACGUGACUGGAAUGUGAUGUGUAGCGGUGAAAUGCUUAGAUAUGUCACAGAACGCCAAUCGUGAAGACAGGUCACGAAAUUAUUACUGACGCUCAUGCACGAAAGCGUGGGGAUCAAACA